rnacentral:rRNA from 1 species
AAAGGAAUUGACGGGGGCCCGCACAAGCGGCGGAGCAUGCGGAUUAAUUCGAUGCAACGCGAAGAACCUUACCAAGGCUUGACAUACACCGGAAACGGCCAGAGAUGGUCGCCCCGUAAGGCUGGUGUACAGGUGGUGCAUGGUUGUCGUCAGCUCGUGUCGUGAGAUGUUGGGUUAAGUCCCGCAACGAGCGCAACCCUCGUUCCAUGUUGCCAGCACGUAGUGGUGGGGACUCAUGGGAGACUGCCGGGGUCAACUCGGAGGAAGGUGGGGAUGACGUCAAAUCAUCAUGCCCCUUAUGUCUUGGGCUUCACGCAUGCUACAAUGGCCAGUACAGAGUGCUGCGAAACUGUGAGGUGGAGCGAAUCACUUAAAGCUGGUCUCAGUUCGGAUUGGGGUCUGCAACUCGACCCCAUGAAGUCGGAGUCGCUAGUAAUCGCAGAUCAGCAACGCUGCGGUGAAUACGUUCCCGGGCCUUGUACACACCGCCCGU